AGGUGUAUUAUUGACGUUUGUACUCAAAACCCGUGAACGAAGACAAUGAUGCGUCGAUAAUAGUAUUUACCCCGCGACGACAGCAAAUCGAUAGAAUUGAUGCUAUCGAUUCGACCGAUGAAAAGAAUCGAUUGCUAAUGAUUGGUCGCUUUUAUAAUGCUCGUGUUUAUUCAAGCUGGAAGCUGUUAGGCAUAUAUCACACUUUACUAUUAGGGUAAUUCGCAUAUCCUCUAUCUUAUUAUUUAUGCGUCUUUAAUGUGAUGCGAAAUUGUUUUCAAUAAGGAUUACGUGAAUUGCAAAUUUACUGAACAACCGCCCGAGUGACGCAGUAUAAUUGGUGAUGAAACCACAAUAAAGAUCUUUUAUGAAAAAGUUUCAUAAGUAACAUUCAGUCUUCAUAGAUAUUUUAACUAAAAAGUUAAUCAUAAAAAUUAAUCGAAUAUAUUAUGUUGCAGUAUGUUUUACAUUAAUCUCGUGAAAUUAUUUUCAAAAUUAAAGAUUUCCUUUUUAUAUUUUUGUAAAGAAUAUGA
rnacentral:misc_RNA from 1 species